GUCCCUAUCGUCUAGCACGGUCUAGGACACCGGCCUUUCACGCCGGCGACACCGGUUCAAAUCCGGUUGGGGACGCCA
rnacentral:tRNA from 1 species